GAUUUUAUCUCUUCCUUCUCCCUUCUCUCUCCUCAUUUUUCUCUCCUCUCUCUCUCUUCGUCCCGCGUGCGACGCCGUCGCCUCCUCCCCAUUUCAGUUCGAGCUUGUCGCCGCCACAGGGCACGGCGACCUCCGCCGUUGGUGCCAAUCGGUCCGUCUCGUCGCCGCCUCCCUUCCUCGACCCGUCGCCGGCCUUGGACCGCCGGGAAUUGGCCGGAAACUGGCGAUUUCCGCCGGUUUUUCAUCCAAACUUCAUCUCCUUUGUUCUCCCUCAAUUCUCCACCAAAUCAAUCGAGUAAGGCACCAGGGGUCCGACCGAACCGCAGGAGGGACCUUCGAAGGGUCCAGCUAGCUCGGACCAACAGCCGUAGAAGUACGAAGGAAACCACUAGGGCCGUCUUCCCAGCUUUCGCCCCACCACCAAAGUGUAGGACCUCGUUGUAAAUUCCUUAUAGUUCUGUAAAUUUGUAUAGAAAUGCUCUGAUAUCUAGUUGAACAUGAGAAAAUGGAAUUGAGAUCUAUUGGUUGAGUUAGUCUGGCAGUUGGUGUGUUAUCUUGAGACUGUUUGACAGGUGGAAGACUUUGGGUUUGAUCAAAAUACAGGGGAGAUUCUGUCGAAUUUUCGGCAGAAGUUUAA